GAUGAACGCUGGCGGCGUGCCUAAUACAUGCAAGUCGAGCGAAUGGAUUAAGAGCUUGCUCUUAUAAAGUUAGCGGCGGACGGGUGAGUAACACGUGGGUAACCUGCCCAUAAGACUGGGAUAACUCCGGGAAACCGGGGCUAAUACCGGAUAACAUUUUGAACCGCAUGGUUCGAAAUUGAAAGGCGGCUUCGGCUGUCACUUAUGGAUGGACCCGCGUCGCAUUAGCUAGUUGGUGAGGUAACGGCUCACCAAGGCAACGAUGCGUAGCCGACGUGAGAGGGUGAUCGGCCACACUGGGACUGAAACACGGCCCAGACUCCUACGGGAGGCAGCAGUAGGGAAUCUUCCGCAAUGGACGAAAGUCUGACGGAGCAACGCCGCGUGAGUGAUGAAGGCUUUCGGGUCGUAAAACUCUGUUGUUAGGGAAGAACAAGUGCUAGUUGAAUAAGCUGGCACCUUGACGGUACCUAACCAGAAAGCCACGGCUAACUACGUGCCAGCAGCCGCGGUAA
rnacentral:rRNA from 1 species